rnacentral:rRNA from 1 species
AUUGAACGCUGGCGGCAGGCCUAACACAUGCAAGUCGAGCGGGGUUUUCGGACCUAGCGGCGGACGGGUGAGUAAUGCGUAGGAAGCUGCCCGAUAGAGGGGGAUACCAGUUGGAAACGACUGUUAAUACCGCAUAAUGUCUACGGACCAAAGUGUGGGACCUUCGGGCCACAUGCUAUCGGAUGCGCCUACGUGGGAUUAGCUAGUUGGUGAGGUAAUGGCUCACCAAGGCGACGAUCUCUAGCUGGUUUGAGAGGAUGAUCAGCCACACUGGAACUGAGACACGGUCCAGACUCCUACGGGAGGCAGCAGUGGGGAAUAUUGGACAAUGGGCGCAAGCCUGAUCCAGCCAUGCCGCGUGUGUGAAGAAGGCCUUCGGGUUGUAAAGCACUUUCAGCGAGGAGGAAGGGGUUGUAGUUAAUAGCUGCAACCUUUGACGUUACUCGCAGAAGAAGCACCGGCUAUCUCUGUGCCAGCCGCCGCUGUAAGAC